AUACGGAGGGUGCAAGCGUUAAUCGGAAUUACUGGGCGUAAAGCGUACGUAGGCGGUUUAUUAAGUCAGAUGUGAAAGCCCCGGGCUUAACCUGGGAACUGCAUUUGAAACUAGUAGACUAGAGUAUGGUAGAGGGGGGUAGAAUUCCUAGUGUAGCGGUGAAAUGCGUAGAUAUUAGGAGGAAUACCAGUGGCGAAGGCGGCCCCCUGGACCAAUACUGACGCUGAGGUACGAAAGCGUGGGGAGCGAACAGGAUUAGAUACCCGUGUAGUCC
rnacentral:rRNA from 1 species